ensembl:lncRNA
UGGGAGGGUUCAACCACUUUUCCUAGGAUGGACAACCGGCUGAUAGCCUUUGUCUUAAAUUAUCCCUCCUGAACCCAAACUGCCCCACUGAGAAGACCGAUCAGCUUCCCACAGGCUGCUGAAGAGCUGCUCCACAAGUGAACACCACCCACGUCGAGCAAAAUACAUGCUGGAAGAAAAACAAAGCAAGACUUUUUUUACAGCUGACAUAAUGACUGUUCAGAUCAAGAAGUGCUGAAGUACUGCCUCUGCCUCACCAGGUUUACAGGCCCAAGGUACCAUAAAAUGAGAGAUACCUGGAGCAAACUGCUUCUCUUGGACUUCAGCCCAUGAACCCACCUACGAUCUGAUUCAAGUGCAAUCAUAAAGGCUAAUGAUGCUCCACUGUCUUGAAUUAUAUCUACAUUGCGCAGUGUAGCGGAGACCUAUCAAACUAAACCACGGGGAAAAGAGAACCAAGGGAGCUGCAGUCACCAGUGCCAUAUGGAGUUGCUGAAGAAGUCAGGACUGAGAGAGCAAAGGCGGUCUGACCUGGACAAGAAGGCGAAGAAAGAGCUGACUCAGAGGGAGCUUCGCAGGACUUGGAGUGGGGCUGGACCCACCUGGGAAGAAAAGGCAGAUUUUGAAAUGGGAGUCAACUCCAGCCCAGUUUCGAAGGGUGAAAUCUGUCCAACUAUAUUUGCUUCAAGGAGCUGCAGUUCAAUUUCAUUUGGGAUGUUUCAUGGGAAGGCAAUGGAUAAAUGAUGAAUAGAUCAGGAGAGCAAUGCAAACUGACCUAGGCUGGAGGAAAGAGGAACUGGAAGAAAGAUGUUUCCUAUUUUCUUGGAAGAAAACCUGAGAAGACCACAUGCAUGUCCAUGUAGAGCACUGUGGACAUCAUUGAUCACCCUGUAGAUGGGUCAAGGCCUCCUCACCAUGUGAAGUCCAUGCGUUGCUUUACUUUCCAAAUCUGGAUCCAGAGAAGCCAAACCAAACCAUUCACUGCACACCUUGCCUUGCUGUAAUUUACAUUUGGCAUCAGGAUGCAGAUGUACCAACUCUUCCCAACUUUUGAAAUGAAUGAUGAUGAUGGACUUCAUACAAAAAAGCAUCUAUCUUUUAAACUCCCACACCUCCCCCGAGCCUACAGAACUGUUAAAAGUAAAUGUAAGGCCUUUAUCUUACCAUCAAUUCACGAAGACUGGCAGCGGUGUUUACGUGGAGUCCACAAUGUGCCACCAGGCAUUAAUCUCCAGCAGAUACCACCCGCAAGGUAAAAAGAUGUCAUCAGAGCUAAGAAUGCUUUAAAACUACAAUGGAGGAAAAAUGGGUAGAAAAUACUUCUGAAAAGACGUCUCCCACUGAUAAAAAGGAACUGUUGAAUCACAGCCUGAACCUCUGAUCGAUCUCCUGAGGCAAGCACUGAGUCAGUCACAGGACCACAGGUGAAGGCAAUUCACCUGUGUGAACAGAAGGGGUGUAGCCUGGCUGCACCUCUCCUAGACCUAGAUUUAAGGGCUGACUGCCACCAGGAAAGGAUCUGUUCCUGGAGAUCAUUCCCUUUGGAGUUUUUCUGUGAGCCCAGGAUACAGCAGUGCGCACAAGAUCUACGGGCAGUUAUCCUAGCUGAAAAUCAGAGCCAAGCUGCGGAAUGAAGACAGGAAAGCCCACUUCACAGAGGACAGGGAUGAAACCUCAUAAGUCAUCUGUCAGGGGGAGCUGAGCCCCAGCACGAUGUGAUGUGGAGGUGUGGUACGUGACAUCUGGGCACUCCCACUGCGCUGCUGGCUGCAGCCAUCUGAACGGAUGAAAUAAACCUCAGAGACAGCACAAUUAUGCACAUUUUAAGAUACAGAGAUUUAUAAAGCAUGAAGAAAAUUAUACUUUGAAGAUCUUUGCAGAGCUGUGAUUGUAAGAUCUACGGAGGGAUAUAUGCAGCUGAUGUGUCCCUAUGGCGUUUGACUGUUUUCAAGUCAUUGUUAUGAAGAACGUUUGCAGAAAAAACCUUGGCACUUGAUCUGAUUUCUCACAUUUCCCCCUCUGAACUCCACGCCCCUGAUGAAGAACCAGACAGGAACGGGACCGGCUGCUCUGUAUGGAGGAGGGCUACAGAGCAGUCUGUGAGAUGGUUCGCAUCACCACUUGCUGUACUGAAGGCAGCAGACAUAGAUGUUAAGCUCAGUGAAAAGAAACUGCAAUGCAGUGCAUCAGCAUCGGGAACAAUAAACAUAAAUCUGACACCUAAUAGUUCUUUCAGAGAAUUGAUUUAAAGUCUGGAUUAUUUCCCAUCCCGGGCAUGCAUCAUAUCCCCCAGCAGCAAACUGAAGGAUGUACCGUGACCCUAGUUACUACAGAAAUGUUCAUGGAUCAGAGACCCUGCAGUCAACCUUCUUGUUCUGACCAAUCAUUAACCAGGAGGAACAUUGUGGAGCUGCCGCUGCUUUUUCCUGAGUUACUUUAACAGACUGACCACAGGCAUGUUCCUUCGUCCUUAGAAGAGUUCCAGAAGAUUAGUCAGCUAAACCUGACAAGGCUUCUGGGAAGCUGGAAAGGACUUGGCUCAGCAUAUUAGGAACUAAGUGAUGAUGACAACCCUGUGGAUUUGUUCACUCCAUCCUAAAGAGGACUUCCCGUCAUAGUACUUUGUGCAUGGAUUUAGGAAAAUUUGAAUGAUUCAAGUAGAGAUCCAUGCGUCUCUCUGGCAUGUACUCCCCGAGGGAGCUGCAAUCAAAACUCCAGGGAUGGAAAGCCAGAGACAGAACCACAUGGAUGAAGCUCUGCAUUGCUCGAGAAUACCUCCUUCAGACACAUCAUCUUCUUCCCCUGCACUUGUCUUUCACGUACUUGAUUCUGGCAGUGGCAUUAUGAAGAACUACAGGACUGAAGCAGUAAUGACACUGCAUUCCCUGCAGAACAAAGAGCUGCUUCUGCCACGCUGUGCGUUGUGUUCCAUGACAGGCUUAUCCAGCAGAACCAGGGAAUAACCUAACCGGACCGAGACUGCAAAGAAACGCAGUCCUGAAAUGAGCAAGAACUGGAUUUAACACCCAAGUUUUCCUAGUGAGAAAAGUACCUCCAAAAAUUAAACCAAACCAAAGGUGACCUGUGUGUCUUGUGCAAGGAGGAUCAGCUCUGCUCCAGAAGCCACGGCUGUUUCACUGACUGUGACAUAGCGAAAACUAAACGGCUGGCAUAUCAGCCCACCAACAGACAGAUCACAUGCCUUCCACCAAUGAAGUGAGCUAUCUGAUGCUAGCCUUGCUGAAGCUUCAAGUCCCUGCUGCUCUCCCUUUCUUCAGAGAGAACUCCUGCCGGGUUGGUGAUGUUUGCUCACUCAUUGAAAUCACAGAGCUGGUCCACAGCUGCACAAGUUUCACUGCUGGGAGGCUGCCUUCUGCUAGUCGAGUACCAUGGGAAGGAUCAAGUGGAGGAGAGCUGCACUAAUCAGAAGACACGCUGUCUGGGAAGCAAGCCCAUUUUGUUCUUCCAGAAUCCCUCCCACUGCAAGCACCAGACCUCAAAAUGACCCAGAGAAAGCCUCUCCAAUCCAAGUAAUUUAAAUGCAAUGAAUGUGAUUUGGCUUCUAGUUAGUUCCCUUGGAAGUAAUGAAAGAGGUAUGAGUGUUUUGGAGAACUAUCGUUUGAAGAAUGCAGCUGCUUUUCACUGGUUGGUAUCUACAUGUGUAUGGAGUUCUGUGCAGUGGUUGAAUGUGCAGCGCUUCGAGACCUUUCGGUACGCGGGGAGAUUAAGGAACCACAGAGCUUGAGAGAGAGGAGUUUGCAUCCCUUGUGAGAAUUCUGAUAUCCCUGUGUUCAUAUAUGUUGAUAUUCUCUUCUGAAUGGUGACCUGUUUACGUUGGAUGGAGCCUAAAGACCCAAAGACCCUGGAUAUCCUUGGACUGAGUUGCUUAAGGACACGUUGCUUUCCAAAGACCCUGAAGAAUGGUGUGCUACCAAGGAUUUUUCAGUCCCAGACAAAUCAGGAAAAUAAAAUGAUUGCCUUAGAGCAAAACCAUGACUAAAGGAGAGUAACACUAUACACCCUCAGUGCCUGAAGCAACUCAAGGUUUCUGCUGUGAACCACAUUUGCUCUUGAUCUGAGGGGAUACAGGUGCUACUACAGUCAUCUUCUCAUCUCCUCCUCCACACAGCUUUCCUCCCUGGAAGUUGGAACACAAUCAGCGGAGUUAAUAUGGGUGAAAAUAAAGGGAAAACUGUGUUUUUUUUUUUUUUCCCGGGAUUUGCAGAUGCUGUGACAGGCUGCCUUGGUUAGGAAACAUCAGAAGUGUAAUCAUAUUAAUAGAAUCAUUUUCUUAUGCAUGUGGAAAUGGAGAUGAUGUGUCAUUUACAAGUGAAUGAAGACUCAACACUGGCAACUGCUGGACUGCAUAAUAUGGUCAUAAAAUGCUUCAGUUAUAAUAAGUCUAAGAAAUUAUUGCACAGCUGUAACACAACUGUGGAGAUUAGUAGAGAGUUUCAAUAGAUUUUUAGGUUCUCUCUUUUUAAAAAUACCUUUCAUCCUCAAUGCAGCCUGAUUGCAUAUGGUAUCUGGCAUGAAGGCAAGAAGCAACUACAGCAAAGUCUUGCAGAGAAAAUGCUAGCAUUUUUGGAUGUGCUGACAGUGUAUUUCCAGGAGGUGAAGAAAUUCCAGAAGGCAAAUGAUGGGAUGAAAGACAGGAUCAUGGUAUAGACUUUACUCAGAGAUGGAAAUCUGAAGAAAUC